rnacentral:rRNA from 1 species
GAAAAGAAACUAACAAGGAUUCCCCUAGUAGCGGCGAGCGAAGCGGGAAGAGCUCAAAUUUGUAAUCUGGCACCUUCGGUGUCCGAGUUGUAAUCUCGAGAAGUGUUUUCCGCGCUAGACCGCAUGUAAGUCUGUUGGAAUACAGCGUCAUAGGUGGUGACAACCCCGUACGUAAUGCGGAUGCCUAGUGCUUUGUGAUACACUUUCGAAGAGUCGAGUUGUUUGGGAAUGCAGCUCAAAUUGGGUGGUAAAUUCCAUCUAAAGCUAAAUAUUGGCGAGAGACCGAUAGCGAACAAGUACCGUGAGGGAAAGAUGAAAAGCACUUUGGAAAGAGAGUUAAAAGUACGUGAAAUUGUUGAAAGGGAAACGCUUGAAGUCAGACUUGCGUAUUGGAGUUCAGCCGCAAGGUGUAUUCUUCAGUUUGCAGGCCAGCAUCAGUUUUCGGGGGUACAAAAGGGUAAGGGGAAGGUGGCAGCUUCGGCUGUGUUAUAGCCUCUUACUGGAUGUAUCCUUGGGGACUGAGGACUGCAGCGCACUUUUUGCAAGUCCCUCGGGACUUUCUGCGCUUAGGAUGCUGGUGGAAUGGCUUUAAACGACCCGUC